rnacentral:rRNA from 1 species
UACAGAGGGUGCAAGCGUUGUUCGGAAUUAUUGGGCGUAAGCGCGUGUAGGCGGCUUUGCAAGUCGGGUGUGAAAGCCCUCAGCUCAACUGAGGAAGUGCGCCCGAAACUGCAGAGCUUGAGUACCGGAGAGGAUGGUGGAAUUCCCCAAGGUAGAGGUGAAAUUCGUAGAUAUGGGGAGGAACACCGGUGGCGAAGGCGGCAUCCUGGACCGACACUGACGCUGAGGAGCGAAAGCCAGGGGAGCAAACGGG